rnacentral:lncRNA from 1 species
AGGGAAAAGAGAAGGAGAGGAAAGGAAGGCAGAAGGAAAGGAGGGCAGAGGGAAAAGAGAAGUAGAGGAAAGGAAGGCAGAAGGAAAGGAGGGCAGAGGGAAAAGAGAAGGAGAGGAAGGCAGAAGGAAAGGAGGGCAGAGGGAAAAGAGAAGGAGAGGAAGGCAGAAGGAAAGGAGGGCAGAGGGAAAAGAGAAGGAGAGGAAAGGAAGGCAGAAGGAAAGGAGGGCAGAGGGAAAAGAGAAGGAGAGGAAAGGAAGGCAGAAGGAAAGGAGGGUAGAGGGAAAAGAGAAGGAGAGGAAAGGAAGGCAGAGGGAAAAGAGAAGGAGAGGAAAGGAAGGCAGAAGGAAAGGAGGGCAGAGGGAAAAGAGAAGGAGAGGAAAGGAAGGCAGAAGGAAAGGAGGGUAGAGGGAAAAGAGAAGGAGAGGAAAGGAGGGCAGAGGGAAAAGAGAAGUAGAGGAAAGGAAGGCAGAAGGAAAGGAGGGCAGAGGGAAAAGAGAAGGAGAGGAAGGCAGAAGGAAAGGAGGGCAGAGGGAAAAGAGAAGGAGAGGAAGGCAGAAGGAAAGGAGGGCAGAGGGAAAAGAGAAGGAGAGGAAAGGAAGGCAGAAGGAAAGGAGGGCAGAGGGAAAAGAGAAGGAGAGGAAGGCAGAAGGAAAGGAGGGCAGAGGGAAAAGAGAAGGAGAGGAAGGCAGAAGGAAAGGAGGGCAGAGGGAAAAGAGAAGGAGAGGAAAGGAAGGCAGAAGGAAAGGAGGGCAGAGGGAAAAGAGAAGGAGAGGAAAGGAAGGCAGAAGGAAAGGAGGGUAGAGGGAAAAGAGAAGGAGAGGAAAGGAAGGCAGAGGGAAAGGAGGGCAGAGGGAAAAGAGAAGGAGAGGAAAGGAAGGCAGAAGGAAAGGAGGGCAGAGGGAAAAGAGAAGGAGAGGAAAGGAAGGCAGAAGGAAAGGAGGGUAGAGGGAAAAGAGAAGGAGAGGAAAGGAGGGCAGAGGGAAAAGAGAAGUAGAGGAAAGGAAGGCAGAAGGAAAGGAGGGCAGAGGGAAAAGAGAAGGAGAGGAAGGCAGAAGGAAAGGAGGGCAGAGGGAAAAGAGAAGGAGAGGAAGGCAGAAGGAAAGGAGGGCAGAGGGAAAAGAGAAGGAGAGGAAAGGAAGGCAGAAGGAAAGGAGGGCAGAGGGAAAAGAGAAGGAGAGGAAGGCAGAAGGAAAGGAGGGCAGAGGGAAAAGAGAGGAGCAUGA